rnacentral:rRNA from 1 species
GUCUACAGCCAUGCCACCCUGAACAUGCCUGAUCCUGUCUGAUCUCGGAAGCUAAGCAGGGGCGGGCCUGCUUAGUACUUGGAUGGGAGACCACCUAGGAAGACCAGGUGCUGUAGGCA